ensembl:lncRNA
GGAGGAUGUAGAGAGGUGGAGAACGUAGAGAGGUGGAGGAUGUAGAGAGGUGGAGGAUAUAGAGAGUUGGAGGAAGUAGAGAGGUCAAGGACGUAGAGAGUUGGAGGUGGUAGAGAGGUGGAGGAUAUAGAGAGUUGGAGGAAGUAGAGAGGUCAAGGACGUAGAGAGUUGGAGGUGGUAGAGAGGUGGAGGACGUAGAGAGUUGGAGGACGUAGAGAGUUGGAGAAUGUAGAGGUGGAGGAUGUAGAGAGGUGGAGGACGUAGAGAGAUGGAGGACGUAGAGAGUUGGAGGACGUAGAGAUUUGGAGGAUGUAGAGAGGUGGAGGACUUAGAGAGGUGGAGGACUUAGAGAGGUGGAG